ACCAUCUCUCAUAUUGUAUAUAGUAUGGAUCCGAAGCCUCUUGAAGAUUAACAUAGACUCUCCACCUCACUUCAAUUCAAUACGUUCCCGGCGUAUAGAAUGGUAACAUGUCUCUCCAAAUAUCUGAGCUUGGGUAAACGUGAAAACCCAAUCCCUUGGGAAGAUGGGUGAUAUGGCUAAAUUGAGUGGA
rnacentral:ribozyme from 1 species